rnacentral:rRNA from 1 species
UUCGCCCUUUACCGCGGCUGCUGGCACGUAGUUAGCCGAGCCUUAUUCCGGGGAUACUGUCCUUCCUCAUCUCCCCGAAAAGCGCUUUACGACCCGAAGGCCUUCUUCGCGCACGCGGCGUUGCUGCAUCAGGCUUUCGCCCAUUAUGCAAUAUUCCCUACUGCUGCCACCCGUAGGUGUAUGGACCGUGUUUCAGUUCCAUUGUGGGGGGCCACCCUCUCAGGUCCCCUACCCGUCAUCGCCUUGGUAGGCCGUUACCUUACCAACUAGCUGAUGGGUCGCAGGCCCCUCCCAGAGCGGAUUACUCCCUUUGCAGUGAAGCUGCUAUUCCUCCACUGCUCAUGCGGUAUUAGCAAGCCUUUCGGCCUGUUAUCCCUCUCUCCAGGGCAGGUUACCAACGCGUUACUCACCCGUUCGCCACUGAAUGCAUCGCUGCACUCCGUUCGACUUGCAUGUAUUAGGCACGCCGCCAGCGUUCAUCCUGAGCCAUGAUCAAACUCAAGGGCGAAUUCGCGGCCGCUAAAUUUCAAUUCGCUAGGGGGGGG